rnacentral:rRNA from 1 species
UUAUCUGAACCUUCGGGGAACGAUAACGGCGUCGAGCGGCGGACGGGUGAGUAAUGCCUAGGAAAUUGCCCUGAUGUGGGGGAUAACCAUUGGAAACGAUGGCUAAUACCGCAUGAUGCCUACGGGCCAAAGAGGGGGACCUUCGGGCCUCUCGCGUCAGGAUAUGCCUAGGUGGGAUUAGCUAGUUGGUGAGGUAAGGGCUCACCAAGGCGACGAUCCCUAGCUGGUCUGAGAGGAUGAUCAGCCACACUGGAACUGAGACACGGUCCAGACUCCUACGGGAGGCAGCAGUGGGGAAUAUUGCACAAUGGGCGCAAGCCUGAUGCAGCCAUGCCGCGUGUGUGAAGAAGGCCUUCGGGUUGUAAAGCACUUUCAGUCGUGAGGAAGGUGGUGUAGUUAAUAGCUGCAUUAUUUGACGUUAGCGACAGAAGAAGCACCGGCUAACUCCGUGCCAGCAGCCGCGGUAAUACGGAGGGUGCGAGCGUUAAUCGGAAUUACUGGGCGUAAAGCGCAUGCAGGUGGUUUGUUAAGUCAGAUGUGAAAGCCCGGGGCUCAACCUCGGAAUAGCAUUUGAAACUGGCAGACUAGAGUACUGUAGAGGGGGGUAGAAUUUCAGGUGUAGCGGUGAAAUGCGUAGAGAUCUGAAGGAAUACCGGUGGCGAAGGCGGCCCCCUGGACAGAUACUGACACUCAGAUGCGAAAGCGUGGGGAGCAAACAGGAUUAGAUACCCUGGUAGUCCACGCCGUAAACGAUGUCUACUUGGAGGUUGUGGCCUUGAGCCGUGGCUUUCGGAGCUAACGCGUUAAGUAGACCGCCUGGGGAGUACGGUCGCAAGAUUAAAACUCAAAUGAAUUGACGGGGGCCCGCACAAGCGGUGGAGCAUGUGGUUUAAUUCGAUGCAACGCGAGAACCUUACCUACUCUUGACAUCCAGAGACUUUCCAGAGAUGGAUUGGUGCU